GAUGAACGCUGGCGGCGUGCUUAACACAUGCAAGUCGAGCGAGAGAGUUCUUCGGAACAAUCUAGCGGCGGACGGGUGAGUAACACGUGGGCAACCUGCCUCAUAGAGGGGAAUAGCCUUCCGAAAGGAAGAUUAAUACCGCAUAACAUCGUUGAAGGGCAUCCUUCGAUGAUCAAAGGAGCAAUCCGCUAUGAGAUGGGCCCGCGGCGCAUUAGCUAGUUGGUGAGGUAACGGCUCACCAAGGCGACGAUGCGUAGCCGGCCUGAGAGGGUGAUCGGCCACAUUGGGACUGAGACACGGCCCAGACUCCUACGGGAGGCAGCAGUGGGGAAUAUUGCACAAUGGGGGAAACCCUGAUGCAGCAACGCCGCGUGAGUGAUGACGGCCUUCGGGUUGUAAAGCUCUGUCUUUGGGGACGAUAAUGACGGUACCCAAGGAGGAAGUCACGGCUAACUACGUGCCAGCAGCCGCCGUAA
rnacentral:rRNA from 1 species